rnacentral:misc_RNA from 1 species
AAGUCGUAACAAGGUUUCCGUAGGUGAACCUGCGGAAGGAUCAUUACCGAGUGCGGGACCCCAAGGUCCCAACCUCCCACCCGUGUCGUAACCGUACCUUUGUUGCUUUGGCGGGCCCACCUCGGGUCCUCCCCAGGUCGCCCGGGGGCACUCCGCUCCCGGGCCCGCGCCCGCCAAAGACCCUCUUGAACUCUGGUUGAUUUAGGGAGUCUGAGUCCUUGAUAAUUAUUAAAACUUUCAACAACGGAUCUCUUGGUUCCG